rnacentral:misc_RNA from 1 species
CGAACGCCAGUGUGCUCCUUUUUCUCACGCUCAGCUUCUUCCUCGACCUGUCUUGUGAGCUCUUCGAUCCGCUCGCGGAACCCUGCAGCCUCGUGGGCCGCCAUUGCGGUGGUUACAAGCUUCUCCUUCGAUUUCAGUUUAGUUUUCGACUCAUCUAGCGCAGUAUUUGUACUCGCCAACUCCUUCUUGAGCAUAGCUACCUUCCAG